GGGGGACCUUCGGGCCUCUUGCCAUCGGAUGUGCCCAGAUGGGAUUAGCUAGUAGGUGGGGUAACGGCUCACCUAGGCGACGAUCCCUAGCUGGUCUGAGAGGAUGACCAGCCACACUGGAACUGAGACACGGUCCAGACUCCUACGGGAGGCAGCAGUGGGGAAUAUUGCACAAUGGGCGCAAGCCUGAUGCAGCCAUGCCGCGUGUAUGAAGAAGGCCUUCGGGUUGUAAAGUACUUUCAGCGGGGAGGAAGGGAGUAAAGUUAAUACCUUGGCUCAUUGACGUUACCCGCAGAAGAAGCACCGGCUACCUCAUUGCCAGCAGCCGCGGUAAUACGGAGGGUGCAAGCGUUAAUCGGAAUACUGGGCGUAAAGCGCACGCAGCGGUUGC
rnacentral:rRNA from 1 species